rnacentral:rRNA from 1 species
CGUUAGUGGCGGACGGGUGAGUAACGCGUGGGUAACCUGCCUUAUACAGGGGGAUAACAACCAGAAAUGGUUGCUAAUACCGCAUAAGCGCACAGGACCGCAUGGUCUAGUGUGAAAAACUCCGGUGGUAUAAGAUGGACCCGCGUUGGAUUAGCUAGUUGGCAGGGUAACGGCCUACCAAGGCGACGAUCCAUAGCCGGCCUGAGAGGGUGAACGGCCACAUUGGGACUGAGACACGGCCCAG